rnacentral:rRNA from 1 species
AUUGAACGCUGGCGGCAGGCCUAACACAUGCAAGUCGAGCGGAUGAAGGGAGCUUUCUCCUGGAUUCAGCGGCGGACGGGUGAGUAAUGCCUAGGAAUCUGCCUUGUAGUUGGGGAUAACGUCCGGAAACGGGCGCUAAUACCGCAUACGUUCUGAGGUAGAAAGUGGGGGAUCUUCGGACCUCACGCUAUCUGAUGAGCCUAGGUCGGAUUAGCUAGUUGGUUGGGUAAAGGCCUACCAAGGCGACGAUCCGUAACUGGUCUGAGAGGAUGAUCAGUCACACUGGAACUGAGACACGGUCCAGACUCCUACGGGAGGCAGCAGUGGGGAAUAUUGGACAAUGGGCGAAAGCCUGAUCCAGCCAUGCCGCGUGUGUGAAGAAGGUCUUCGGAUUGUAAAGCACUUUAAGUUGGGAGGAAGGAAAGUAAGUUAAUCUCUUGCUGUCUUGACGGUACCAACAGAAUAAGCACCGGCUAACUUCGUG